UGAGGAUAAAAAGAAAAGUAGAGUUGUUUGCAAUCUGAUUUGCGCUGGGUUUUGGAACCAGCAAUUGGCCACAGGCACACACACCCCCAAUCAGAGGCGCGCACCCCGCUCGCUCCCGGAACUGUCAUGCGGGCUGACAGCUGGCACACCCUCCUGUCGCCCUCCACCCGCCUGCAGAAAGCCCACUCCCUACAGUCACCUUGACAUUGCUCACCUGCCUGGGCCUCAGCCCAUGACCAAGGAAACUUUUGCCCUCCCUCCCCAGGAGCUCACUUACAGGCCAUCUUCAAAGGUACUGCCUACCUGAACCUGCCUUGUCCCAAAGGACACACUUCAAUCUGGGGAGAGUUUAAAGUUGUAGACAUAUCCAUUUUCAUUUAAGGAAUAUGAAGAUCAGGGAGGCAAAAUAUAGAGAUAUAGAGAGGAAAAACUGAGAGAUGAUCAGAAAUUCAGACGCAUUCGGAAUGAGCACCCUUGACCAUACCAAGAACAAAGACUCUAUAAAAAUGUGAAGUCUUAUUAUUGUUCAUCCAUGUUCUACGUGGGAUCCACCCAAGACAUUGAAAACUGUACAGAACAGGGUGAAAUUGAAUCAGAUCAUUCUGUACUCCUAACAAGGUCCACCCCAUGAGAGACUUGCAGCAGAAUUAAUGACACUGUAUAUUUUCCUCUACUAACAACAACAAGAACAACAACAACAACAAUCUAGGAAAAUCAAAGGCAGCCCGACAUGGAAAAAAACACAAAAUGAAUAUUUGGAUUACAAAUAGUGUGAUGGGAAGAACACACUGCCAAAAGUCCACCUAGUAUGUUGAAAUUACUGUUUCUAGCACAUAUAAGAUGAGGAAAAGGAAGAUCAAAAAGGUCAUAUCAUUUGCUUACAUAAACAGUGAUGAAAUUCAGAUUCAACCUUGGAACUUUGGAUCUCAUGCCCUGUCACAAACGGGACUUAGGAAACCAACUGGCUUUCAUCUAGAUUUGCUGCCAAUUUGUACUGACUUCUGAAAAAUACUUUAUCCAUUGUCUUCUUACAUCAGAAUCAACUCCCUAAAUUCUUCAGCACUGGCUUUGUAAACUGGUUUCUGGUCUUUGUUUCUGUCAACUUACCUAUAAAAGGAUACAAAAACUGAAGAACAGAGAGGAGCAGAUACCCUGGAAAGCCGAAAGUUUUAUUGACCAAAGACUGAGUCUCGGAAUGUUUUGAUUGUGGAGUUUAUAGAGUUCAGGCUGAAGUUUUAUAAAAAUAACUUGCAGCAGCAUGGAGGACUGAUGAGAAAGUAGACAGAUGCUGGAAGCAGGAAAACUGAACAGCAGGUCACUGGCCAAGGAGAAUCAAAGAGCUAGAUGCUGAGAAUAAUGCAGCCAUAACGUGAAAUCUUUUUGAGGCUCCGUGGUGGUCUUAAAAUAUAUCCACAAAUUUUCUGACAUCCUCUCUUCAAGAAGUGGAGCUUAAUUCCCUUUCCUUUGAGUGCAGACCACUCACUCUGGGAGAAAGCAACUGGCUAUGUCAUGAGGAAAUUGAAACCACCUAUGGAGAAAGGCCCACAUGAAUUCUGUAAGUCUGCUACGGUGACAUUUCUGGUUAGGAGUCAGAGUGGAUGGGACACUGAGCAAUAAGAAUGCAGAGACAUGAUGGCUGAAGCUGGAGCUUUUCCCUGAAGCAACCACCUGUUGGAAACUUCAUGUUGAAGAUGACUGAAUAAUAAGACAGAGGGGUCUGGGUCCCUGGUGGAUAUUCCAGAUCUGGGUGUUCGUGGAGAUAUGAGAAAGCAAUAAACUUCAAUUUUGCUUAAAUAGCUGUUACUUGGGGCAUUCUGUCAUUUAUGGACA
rnacentral:lncRNA from 10 species